rnacentral:rRNA from 1 species
ACUUAAAUUGAAGAGUUUGAUCAUGGCUCAGAUUGAACGCUGGCGGCAGGCCUAACACAUGCAAGUCGAGCGGUAGCACAGAGAGCUUGCUCUCGGGUGACGAGCGGCGGACGGGUGAGUAAUGUCUGGGAAACUGCCUGAUGGAGGGGGAUAACUACUGGAAACGGUAGCUAAUACCGCAUAACGUCGCAAGACCAAAGUGGGGGACCUUCGGGCCUCAUGCCAUCAGAUGUGCCCAGAUGGGAUUAGCUAGUAGGUGGGGUAACGGCUCACCUAGGCGACGAUCCCUAGCUGGUCUGAGAGGAUG